GUGGGGAAUAUUGGACAAUGGGCGAAAGCCUGAUCCAGCCAUGCCGCGUGUGUGAAGAAGGUCUUCGGAUUGUAAAGCACUUUAAGUUGGGAGGAAGGGCAGUAAGUUAAUACCUUGCUGUUUUGACGUUACCGACAGAAUAAGCACCGGCUAACUCUGUGCCAGCAGCCGCGGUAAUACAGAGGGUGCAAGCGUUAAUCGGAAUUACUGGGCGUAAAGCGCGCGUAGGUGGUUCGUUAAGUUGGAUGUGAAAGCCCCGGGCUCAACCUGGGAACUGCUUUCAAAACUGCUGAGCUAGAGUACGGUAGAGGGUGGUGGAAUUUCCUGUGUAGCGGUGAAAUGCGUAGAUAUAGGAAGGAACACCAGUGGCGAAGGCGACCACCUGGACUGAUACUGACACUGAGGUGCGAAAGCGUGGGGAGCAAACAGGAUUAGAUACCCGUGUAGUCC
rnacentral:rRNA from 1 species